UGACCUCGGAUCAGACGUGAUUACCCGCUGAAUUUAAGCAUAUUAUUAAGCGGAGGAAAAGAAACUAACAAGGAUUCCCCUAGUAACGGCGAGUGAACGGGGAAGAGCCCAACACCGAAUCCCUUGGCGCAAGUCAACGGGAAAUGUGGUGUUAAGGUAGCCCUUCGUGUCAGUCUAGGCGUCUCAAGUCCACCUGAUUGUGGCUCAAGCCCAGAGAGGGUGUAAGGCCCGUAGAGACGCUCCGACUGAUUCCUGGGGUUUACCUACGAGUCGGCUUGUUUGGGAAUGCAGGCCAAAGCGGGUGGUAAACUCCAUCCAAGGCUAAAUACUGGCACGAGUCGAUAGCGGACAAGUACCGUGAGGGAAAGUUGAAAAGAACUUUGAAGAGAGAGUUCAAUAGUACGUGAAACCGCUUAGAGGCAAACGGAUGGUGCUCAUACUGGCCUGAGGAAUUCAACUGUGACGGUGGCUGGACGAGCUGGCGUUCCGAUCUCUCUUUUGGGACGGGCGUCGGUUUGGCUAUCAGCUCCGACAUGGUGCACUUUCCUUGGUGCCUCCGCCACGACCGACGACACUGGCUACCCGCGGCUGGGGUAAGGUGACAAACUGCUUCGGCAAUUUGUGUUAUAGACCCCGGCGUCGGACAUGGUUUGGCCAGGACGUCGAGCUUGCGGCGCCCGCUCCUUGUGGGCUCGCAUGUUGGCUAGCUUGGCUGCGCCGAUGCUUGCACUGGACAACCAGUACAGGUGACGGUUGUGGUCUUGUCUCUAGUUGGCCUCUGCGAGUUUGGCGCCUAUAGUCUGUGGUGUACUUGUGGGUAGACUAUCCGACCCGUCUUGAAACACGGACCAAGGAGUCUAACAUGUGCGCGAGUCAUGGGGAUUCUACGAAACCCAAAGGCGCAGUGAAAGUAAAGGCCUGCUUCUCGUAGGCUGAGGUGGGAUCUCGUGCAUCGCGAUUGGCGAGCGCACCACCGGCCCGUCCUAUCUGUCUCUGUCAGUGGGGCGGCGCAAGAGCGUACACGUUGGGACCCGAAAGAUGGUGAACUAUGCUUGCGCAGCUCGAAGUCAGUGGAAACACUGAUGGAGGAGCGCAGCGUUUCUGACGUGCAAAUCGAUCGUCAAACGUGAGUAUAGGGGCGAAAGACUAAUCGAACCAUCUAGUAGCUGGUUCCCUCCGAAGUUUCCCUCAGGAUAGCUGGCACUCGGGAAACAGUUUUAUCCGGUAAAGCGAAUGAUUAGAGGCAUUGGGGUCGAAACGACCUCGACCUAUUCUCAAACUUUAAAUGGGUAAGAUGCUCGUCUCGCUUAAUUGGAGGCGGGCUUCACCUCUCUAUAAACGUGAAUGUGAGUGCCCAGUGGGCCAUUUUUGGUAAGCAGAACUGGCGCUGUGGGAUGAACCAAACGCGCGGUUAAGGCGCCCAAUGCGGACGCUCAUGAGACACCACAAAAGGUGUUGGUCGAUACUGACAGCAGGACGGUGGCCAUGGAAGUCGGAACCCGCUAAGGAGUGUGUAACAACUCACCUGCCGAAUCAACCAGCCCUGAAAAUGGAUGGCGCUGGAGCGUCGGGCCUAUACCGUGCCGUUGGGGCGAAGCAGACAAAUAAUCUGUGUGGAUGUCCCAACGAGUAGGAGGGUCGCCGUGGUGAGCGCAGAAGGUGCGGCCGUGAGGCCGGCUGGAGCCGCCACGGGCGCAGAUCUUGGUGGUAGUAGCAAUUACUCAAGUGAGAACCUUGAGGACUGAAGUGGAGAAGGGUUCCAUGUGAACAGCAGUUGAACAUGGGUCAGGCGGUCCUAAGCGAUCGGGUAACUCCGUACCUAGACGAGGGUGACAACUAUCACUGAUAAUACUGUGAAGUGUUAUAGCCCUCCGGAGCGAAAGGGAAUCGUGUUAAUAUUCACGACCCUUACCGUGGAGAUCGCCCCUUUCGGGGGCAAGUGCGGUAACGCAAACGAACACAGAGACGUCGGCUGGAGCCCGGGAAGAGUUCUCUUUUCUUUGUAAGGAGCGUACCCCUGGAAUCGGCUUGUCCGGAGAUAGGGGCGUGGCUUCCGUAAAGCAGCGCGGGUCUUGCGCUGUCCGGUGCACUCUAGUCGGCCCUUGAAAAUCUGUGGGAGACAGUGUGAUUUUCACGGUAGGCCGUACCCAUAUCCGCAGCAGGUCUCCAAGGUGAACAGCCUCUAGUCCUAGAACAAUGUAGGUAAGGGAAGUCGGCAAAAUGGAUCCGUAACUUCGGGAAAAGGAUUGGCUCUGAGGGCUGGGUCGGAUGGGCUGGCGUAAGAAGCUGUUCCGGUUUUGGUGAGGACUGGGUGAGGCUUUCGGGCUUUACUCGGACCAUGCCGAGACCAGGCAGUAGACGACGUCAGCUGUGCUUGUCGUGUUUCGGCGCGGCAGCUUCGUCCGGCAACAAACAGCCAACUCAGAACUGGCACGGACUAGGGGAAUCCGACUGUCUAAUUUAAAACAAAGCAUUGCGAAUGGCUGCUUGUCGUGUUGACGCAAUU
rfam:Macrostomum lignano unitig_47382, whole genome shotgun sequence.